rnacentral:rRNA from 1 species
AUGAAAUUACACCAAGUGACCGGUAUCUAACCAGGAAGGGACGGCUAACUACGUGCCAGCAGCCGCGGUAAUACGUAGGUCCCGAGCGUUGUCCGGAUUUAUUGGGCGUAAAGCGAGCGCAGGUGGUUUAAUAAGUCUGAUGUAAAAGGCAGUGGCUCAAACCAUUGUGUGCAUUGGAAACUGUUAGACUUGAGUGCAGUAGAGGAGAGUGGAUUUCCAUGUGUAGCGGUGAAAUGCGUAGAUAUAUGGAGGAACACCGGUGGCGAAAGCGGCUCUCUGGACUGUAACUGACACUGAGGCUCGAAAGCGUGGGUAGCAAACAGGAUUAGAUACCCUGGUAGUCCACGCCGUAAACGAUGAGUGCUAGUUGUUUGGGGCUAUCCAGCCCUAAGUGACGCAGCAAACGCAUUAAGCACUCCGCCUGGGGAGUACGACCGCAAGGUUGAAACUCAAAGGAAUUGACGGGGGCCCGCACAAGCGGUGGAGCAUGUGGUUUAAUUCGAAGCAACGCGAAGAACCUUACCAGGUCUUGACAUACCAGUGCUAUUCUUAGAGAUAAGAAGUUACUUCGGUACACUGGAUACAGGUGGUGUAUGGUUGUCGUCAGCUCGUGUCGUGAGAUGUUGGGUUAAGUCCCGCAACGAGCGCAACCCCUAUUGUUAGUUGCCAUCAUUAAGUUGGGCACUCUAGCGAGACUGCCGGUAAUAAACCGGAGGAAGGUGGGGAUGACAUCAAAUCAUCAUGCCCCUUAUGACCUGGGCUACACACGUGCUACAAUGGUUGGUACAACGAGUCGCAAGCUAGUGAUAGCAAGCUAAUCUCUUAAAGCCAAUCUCAGUUCGGAUUGUAGGCUGCAACUCGCCUACAUGAAGUCGGAAUCGCUAGUAAUCGCGGAUCAGCACGCCGCGGUGAAUACGUUCCCGGGCCUUGUACACACCGCCCGUCACACCACGAGAGUUUGUAAUACCCAAAGCCGGUGAGCUAACCUUUUAGGAGGCAGCCGUCUAAGGUAGGAUAGAUGAUUGGGGUGAAGUCGUAACAAGGUAGCC